rnacentral:sRNA from 1 species
UCCAUUGGAACAUUGACCUUAUGCCGUUU